rnacentral:snRNA from 1 species
AUCGCUUCUCGGCCUUUUGGCUAAGAUCAAGUGUAGUAUCUGUUCUUAUCAGUUUAAUAUCUGAUACGUCCCCCAUCGGGGGACUACAUAUUAAAUGGAUUUUUCGAACAGGGAGUCGGAAAUGGGGCUUGCAUCCGUCCGCUCCACGCAUCGACCCGGUAUUGCAGUACCUCCGGGAACGGUGCAACACUU